GACGAACGCUGGCGGCGUGCUUAACACAUGCAAGUCGAACGGUGAAGCGCCUUCCUUUUUGGUGGGUGUGGAUGAGUGGCGAACGGGUGAGUAACACGUGAGUAACCUGCCCCCUUCUUCUGGAUAACCGCAUGAAAGUGUGGCUAAUACGGGAUAUUCUGGGUCUGUCGCAUGAUGGGUCUGGGAAAGAUAUUGUUUCGGUGGGGGAUGGGCUCGCGGCCUAUCAGCUUGUUGGUGGGGUGAUGGCCUACCAAGGCGGUGACGGGUAGCCGGCCUGAGAGGGUGGACGGUCACACUGGGACUGAGACACGGCCCAGACUCCUACGGGAGGCAGCAGUGGGGAAUAUUGCACAAUGGGCGCAAGCCUGAUGCAGCGACGUCGCGUGAGGGAUGGAGGCCUUCGGGUUGUGAACCUCUUUCGCCAGUGAAGCAGGCCUGCCUCGUUUGUGGGUGGGUUGACGGUAGCUGGAUAAGAAGCGCCGGCUAACUACGUG
rnacentral:rRNA from 1 species